rnacentral:rRNA from 1 species
AGAGUUUGAUCCUGGCUCAGCCUGAACGCUGGCGGCGUGGCUAAGACAUGCAAGUCGUACGGGUGUAGCAAUACACCAGUGGCGCACGGGUGAGUAAUGUAUAGCUAACCUACCCCGGAAUCUGGGAUAGCUGUCCGAAAGGACAGGUAAUACCAGAUGAUAUAACGGUGUCGCAUGGCAUCGUUCUCAAAGGGCAACCGUUCUGGGAUGGGGCUAUAUUGUAUCAGCUAGUUGGUAGGGUAAUGGCCUACCAAGGCAAUGACGCAUAGCCGGGCUGAGAGGUCGGCCGGCCACAUCGGAACUGAGACACUGUCCGGACUCCUACGGGGGGCUGCAGUAACGAAUCUUCCGCAAUGCACGAAAGUGUGACGGAGCGACGCCGCGUGUGGGAUGAAGUCCCUCGGGAUGUAAACCACUGUCAGGGGAAAGAAAGUUCUGAUCUACCCCAGAGGAAGUGGCGACUAACUCUGUGCCAGCAGUCGCGGUAAUACAGAGGCCACAAGCGUUAGGCGGAAUCACUGGGCUUAAAGCGUGUGUAGGCGGGUUGGUAAGUACCUUGUGAAAUCCCACGGCUUAACCGUGGAACUGCUUGGUAUACUGCUGAUCUAGAGUCAUCUAGGGGCAACCGGAACAGAUGGUGGAGCGGUGAAAUGCAUAGAUAUCAUCUGGAACGCCAAUGGUGCAGACAGGUUGCUGGGGAUGUACUGACGCUGAGGCACGAAAGCCAGGGGAGCAAACGGGAUUAGAUACCCCGGUAGUCCUGGCCCUAAACGAUGUCUACUAGAUCGUGGUCCUUUGACGGGAUCAUGGUCGAAGCAAAAGUGUUAAGUAGACCGCCUGGGAAGUACGGUCGCAAGGCUAAAACUCAAAGGAAUUGACGGGGGCUCACACAAGCGGUGGAGCAUGUGGUUUAAUUCGAAGCAACGCGAAGAACCUUACCUGGGCUUGACAUGCUAGGAUUAUCCUUAUGAAAGUAAGGUAGGCCCCGCAAGGGGUACAACUAGCACAGGUGCUGCAUGGCUGUCGUCAGCUCGUGUCGUGAGAUGUCGGGUUAAGUCCCUUAACGAGCGAAACCUUUGCCCUUAGUUACCAGCGGGUUAUGCCGGGGACUCUAAGGGGACUGCCGGUGUCAAACCGGAGGAAGGUGGAGAUGACGUCAAGUCCUCAUGGCCUUUAUGUCCAGGGCUACACACGUGCUACAAUGGCGUCCACAAAGCGAACCGAGAGCGCGAGCUGGAGGAAAUCGCAGAAAUGACGCCUCAGUUCAGAUCGGAGGCUGCAACCCGCCUCCGUGAAGCUGGAAUCGCUAGUAAUCGCGUAUCAGCUACGACGCGGUGAAUGUGUUCCUGAGCCUUGUACACACCGCCCGUCAAGUCAUGGGAGCCGGAAAUAGCCGAAGUCGCCACACCACGGUGGUGCCUAAGCUAGGUUCGGUGACUGGGACUAAGUCGUAACAAGGUAGCCGUAGGGGAACCUGCGGCUGGAUCACCU